UACAAAACUUCAUCCUCACCGUCAAUUCAAAAUGAUCUCUUUAGCUCUCUAUCUUCUUUCUUCUUGUCUUUCUAAUAGUCUGAUAUUUUUCUCCUUUUUCGUCUCUUUCUUCAUUUUGGUUAGCUCCAAGAAUGCCUACAAAAUAGCUCUUCGAAAAUGCAUGAUUCAACUUCUAUUUCAGAAAAUCUAAUGCCAGCGAUUAGCAUGAUAUUGAUUUCAGGAGGUGUUGGUUUUAGGACAUAAAUUUUGGGAUUGGAGAAGCUUCUAAGUGGGUCAAGGGGGAGCAAUUGGAAGAAGUUGUGGCCAUUAAAAACACAUAUGGGAUUGGUGGCAAAAAGAUAGCUUUUGUGG